CCUCCGGGAGGCAGCAGUGGGGAAUAUUGCACAAUGGGCGCAAGCCUGAUGCAGCCAUGCCGCGUGUAUGAAGAAGGCCUCCGGGCUGUAAAGUACUUUCAGUCGUGAGGAAGGUGUUAAGGUUAAUAACCUUAGCAAUUGACGUUAGCGACAGAAGAAGCACCGGCUAACUCCGUGCCAGCAGCCGCGGUAAUACGGAGGGUGCGAGCGUUAAUCGGAAUUACUGGGCGUAAAGGGCACGCAGGCGGUUAAUUAUGUUUUAGUGGAAAUCCCCGGUCUUAACCUGGGAAUGGCAUUCAAGACUGGUUAGCUAGAGACUUGUAGAGGGGGGGAGAAUUCCUUGUUUAGCGGUGAAAUGCGUAGUGAUGUGAGGUUAUACCUGUGGCUAAGGCGGCCCCCUGGACAAAGACUGACGCUCAUGUGCGAAAGCGUGGGGAGCACACAUGAUUAGAUGCGCGAGUAGUC
rnacentral:rRNA from 1 species